rnacentral:rRNA from 1 species
UACGUAGGGUGCAAGCGUUGUCCGGAAUUAUUGGGCGUAAAGAGCUCGUAGGCGGUCUGUCGCGUCUGCUGUGAAAACUCAGGGCUUAACCCUGAGCUUGCAGUGGGUACGGGCAGACUAGAGUGCGGUAGGGGAGACUGGAAUUCCUGGUGUAGCGGUGAAAUGCGCAGAUAUCAGGAGGAACACCGGUGGCGAAGGCGACAUCCUGGACCGGCAUUGA